rnacentral:rRNA from 1 species
GAGUAACACGUAUGCAACCUGGGCUGGUAAGAGGGGGAAUAAACCCCGGACGAAAAUACCGGACUAAUAACCCGCAUAAUACUUAGAAUCCGCAUGGAUUUUAAGUUAAACAUUUAUGGCUUACAGAUGGGCAUGCGUAUGAUUAGCUGGUUGGAGAGGUAACGGCUCCCCAAGGCAACGAUCAUUAGGGGUUCUGAGAGGAAGGUCCCCCACACUGGUACUGAGACACGGACCAGACUCCUACGGGAGGCAGCAGUGAGGAAUAUUGGUCAAUGGACGCAAGUCUGAACCAGCCAAGUCGCGUGCAGGAAGAAUGUCCUUAAUGGAUUGUAAACUGCUUUUUGCAGGGGAAUAAAGUGCAUCACGUGUGAUGUUUUGUAUGUACUCUGCGAAUAAGGAUCGGCUAACUCCGUGCCAGCAGCCGC